AAUAUAUUAUAAUUUUAAUUAAUAUUAAUAAUUUUGUGCUUUUAAUAAAAUUCAUUCUUAACAAAUUUUAACGUAUUUAAAAAGCUUUUAAAUUAAAAAUUUUUGUUACUAUAGCUACAUAAUACCGCCAAAAUUUACUCCAUGUUAUACGGCGAAAUCAUUAACAUUAGUUAUUAUAGUAUUAUCAAUCUUUUAUUUUCUUGAAUUAUGAAUAAAUAUAGAAUAACGAAUGAAACGAAUGAAAUCCAAAAAUGUACUCAGAACGGGGAAGAACACGAAGAAUAUCAAUAUUUAAAUUUAAUAAAGAAAAUUAUAAAAGAAGGGACGAGGAAAGAUGAUCGUACAGGUGUAGGCACAUUGUCCAUUUUUGGGACACAGAUGCGAUUUAAUUUACGAGACAAUGUAUUCCCAUUGCUAACUACAAAGCGAGUAUUUUGGAGGGGUGUAGUGGAGGAGUUGUUAUGGUUUAUUAGAGGAUCGACAAAUGCCAAAGAAUUAAGUCAAAAGGAUGUCCACAUAUGGGAUGCAAACAGUUCACGUGAGUUCCUAGACUCUUGUGGCUUCACAGAUAGGAAAGAAGGAGAUUUAGGACCUGUUUAUGGAUUUCAAUGGAGACACUAUGGUGCAAGGUACCAAAAUAUGGAUACAGAUUAUAGUGGACAAGGGAUAGAUCAGUUAAAACAGAUCAUAGAUAAGAUACAACAUUCUCCCAAUGAUAGGCGAAUUGUAAUGUCAGCAUGGAACCCAGGCGACAUUUCAAAAAUGGCUCUACCUCCCUGUCACUGUCUUGUACAAUUUUAUGUGAACAAUGGAGAGUUAUCAUGUCAACUUUAUCAAAGAAGCGCUGACAUGGGUCUUGGCGUACCAUUUAAUAUCGCAUCUUAUUCUUUGUUAACUUACAUGCUGGCACACAUUUCAAAUUUAAAGCCAGGUGAAUUUGUACAUACAAUGGGUGACUGUCACGUAUACCUCAAUCACAUAUCCGCACUCGAGGAACAAAUAAAACGUGUGCCAAAACCAUUCCCAUAUUUAAAAAUCGUUAGGAACGUUGAAAACAUAGAAGAUUUUACAGCAGAUGAUAUCGAACUUAUCGGAUACAACCCACACACAAAGUUAUCUAUGCCAAUGGCUGUUUAAAAACAAAAUUGAACACAGAGUACUGACACAAGCUUAUGUACACGUUUUUAUCUAGAAGUAAGAUUCGGUCAUUAAGAAAAUACAUGUUCGAUUGAUAUUAAAUUGCUCUAACAAGUAUAAACCAUAAUCAUUUCGCCACACUUUGCAUCCCAGAAACAAUCAAGUAAAAGAAGAUUUUUCAAAAGGAUGUAACUGACAAGCAUGGACGGUAAAAGGCCUUGUAUAAGCAACUUUCACAAUUUAACAAAAUUUUACUUCUAUACAGAGUCUAGGUCCAGUACUA